UGGGAGGCUGAUACACAAAUUGGGCCUAAGUACUGCUCUAAUUGUCACUAUACCUCCCUAGAAUAAUAAACUAACUGCCUUUUGAUGACCGGGACGAAUUGAGUGAAAUCGUAACGGACAGAUACGGGGCAGACAGUU